AAGCCCCGAGGUGCUUGACACAUUAGAUUGCAAAUCUUAAGGAGCAGGCUAGCGUCUGCCGGGGCUUUCC
rnacentral:tRNA from 1 species